UCCGUCGGAGCGGGUUGGGACGCCAUGUCGGACGAGCUCAGCGAUCUGCUGCGGGAAUUCGAUGAGGUCGUCGAGGGCUUCGACAGGGGCCCCGCGAGUCAGUAUGAGCGGCACCUGGAGGAGCUGAAGAGGAAAGCGGGGCACAGCGUGUACGACAGCGGCAUCGAUGAGCUGGAGAGUACCAGCACAUCCCCAGCGAGCAGCUUGAACUCCAGUGAGGAAGAUCUCAACACCCACACUGGUCCUUACUCCUCUAAAGGUAAAGAUGUAAGAUGUGGUUUUGGUGGAAAGUUUGGAGGAGGAUCCACGGCAGAUACACCUCGUGCCUCCCUGAUGUACCCCAUGCUUCUGUGUCCCUGCCAUCCUGCAGCUGAGUGGAUAACAGCUCCUGUGUGCUGUGACAUGCUACUUCAUGCCAGGGAAGGGCAAUCCCAGCCACAAACAUGGACUGAUCCUGCCUCGACAACUGCUUCUUGCUCCAGCAGCUGGAGAACUGGGAUGUGUUUCUGGUGCUGUGGGGUUGGGGUGCUGGGACAGCUGCGCUUGUGCCAGUCUCAUGGCACUGGCAAGCUUAGGCCUGUGUGUUCAGCUUUGCGUGUCCAUGGCACCCCCAGCCAAGGAGAAGGAGGAGCUCACCAGACCCUGGGGUCUGGGCAGGGCAGGCUGGCAUAAAGGCAGUGGGAGCCUUAGGAUGGUCCUCAACGUUGUGGACACAACCAUGGAACAGCACUUUGAUCCUUGCCUUGGGCCUGCCGCAAGAUCUGCUGAGGUCUGCUGGCUGACAGCUGUGAAUGAUAGCAUAGUCAGCUCUGCUUUAAUUGUUGAGCUUCAGUCUGCUCCCAUGUGCAGGACAGGACUCUGCUGGCACUAAGAUAUGAAACCCUCUUGGUGAGGGCAUCAGGCUAUGCCCUGAAAGGGGGGCUGGUGGCUGCUGACCAAGUGGAUCUGGGGAGUUUAUCCUCUGGAUUCAACAGUGGCAUGAUGCUGAUAUGGGCAAAGAUCAACUUGCAGUGCUUCAUUGAUACCUUGGUGUCCUCUCCUGGUUUGGGAAGCCUGCUCCUGCAGCAGUGUGUCAGGCAGUGGCAGCCAUUGCUGGCCUGUUGCUUCUCAUGGGUAUCUGCAAAUAAGGCCCCUGCCUGGACCCCAAGUGCCUCUGCCCUGAUUUCUGCUGUUAAUACUGUAACAAUGAUGUACACUGUAUAGUUAAUGUAUUUUUUAUGAAUGGGAUUUUAAGUCUC
rnacentral:lncRNA from 7 species